GUGACCUCAAAUCAGGUAGGACUACCCGCUGAACUUAAGCAUAUCAAUAAGCGGAGGAAAAGAAACUAACAAGGAUUCCCCUAGUAACUGCGAGUGAAGCGGGAAAAGCUCAAAUUUAAAAUCUGGCAGUCUCUGGCUGUCCGAGUUGUAAUCUAGAGAAGUGUUAUCCGCGCUGGACCGUGUACAAGUCUCCUGGAAUGGAGCGUCAUAGAGGGUGAGAAUCCCGUCUCUGACACGGACUGCCAGGGCUUUGUGAUAUGCUCUCAAAGAGUCGAGUUGUUUGGGAAUGCAGCUCAAAAUGGGUGGUAAAUUCCAUCUAAAGCUAAAUAUUGGCGAGAGACCGAUAGCGAACAAGUACCGUGAGGGAAAGAUGAAAAGAACUUUGGAAAGAGAGUUAAACAGUACGUGAAAUUGCUGAAAGGGAAACGCUUGAAGUCAGUCGCGUCGAUCAGGGAUCAACCUUGCUUUUGCUUGGUGUAUUUUCUGGUUGACGGGUCAGCAUCAAUUUUGACUAUUGGAAAAAGGUCAAGGUAAUGUGGCAUCUUUGGAUGUGUUUAUAGCCCUUGGUUGCAUACAAUAGUUGGGAUUGAGGAACUCAGUACGCCGCAAGGCCGGGUUUUUUUAAACCACGUACGUGCUUAGGAUGCUGGCAUAAUGGCUUUAAUCGACCCGUCUUGAAACACGGACCAAGGAGUCUAACAUGCCUGCGAGUGUUUGAGUGGAAAACUCGAGCGCGUAAUGAAAGUGAAAGUUGAGAUCCCUGUCGUGGGGAGCAUCGACGCCCAGACCAGACCUUUUGUGACGGUUCUGCGGUAGAGCAUGUAUGUUGGGACCCGAAAGAUGGUGAACUAUGCCUGAAUAGGGUGAAGCCAGAGGAAACUCUGGUGGAGGCUCGUAGCGAUUCUGACGUGCAAAUCGAUCGUCAAAUUUGGGUAUAGGGGCGAAAGACUAAUCGAACCAUCUAGUAGCUGGUUCCUGCCGA
rnacentral:rRNA from 1 species